GACGAACGCUGGCGGCGUGCCUAAUACAUGCCAGUAGAACGCUGAAGGAGGAGCUUGCUUCUCUGGAUGAGUUGCGAACGGGUGAGUAACGCGUAGGUAACCUGCCUGGUAGCGGGGGAUAACUAUUGGAAACGAUAGCUAAUACCGCAUAAUAGUAGAUGUUGCAUGACAUUUGCUUAAAAGGUGCAAUUGCAUCACUACCAGAUGGACCUGCGUUGUAUUAGCUAGUUGGUGGGGUAACGGCUCACCAAGGCGACGAUACAUAGCCGACCUGAGGGGGGGAUCGGCCACACUGGGACUGAGACACGGCCCAGACUCCUACGGGAGGCAGCAGUAGGGAAUCUUCGGCAAUGGACGGAAGUCUGACCGAGCAACGCCGCGUGAGUGAAGAAGGUUUUCGGAUCGUAAAGCUCUGUUGUAAGAGAAGAACGAGUGUGAGAGUGGAAAGUUCACACUGUGACGGUAUCUUACCAGAAAGGGACGGCUAACUACGUG
rnacentral:rRNA from 1 species